GUACACAAAAAUGCACAUAUUGUGAGCUCGAUGAGUAGGGCGGGACACGUGGUAUCCUGUCUGAAUAUGGGGGGACCAUCCUCCAAGGCUAAAUACUCCUGACUGACCGAUAGUGAACCAGUACCGUGAGGGAAAGGCGAAAAGAACCCCGGCGAGGGGAGUGAAAAAGAACCUGAAACCGUGUACGUACAAGCAGUGGGAGCCUCUUAAUGGGGUGACUGCGUACCUUUUGUAUAAUGGGUCAGCGACUUAUAUUCUGUAGCAAGGUUAACCGAAUAGGGGAGCCGAAGGGAAACCGAGUCUUAACUGGGCGUUAAGUUGCAGGGUAUAGACCCGAAACCCGGUGAUCUAGCCAUGGGCAGGUUGAAGGUUGGGUAACACUAACUGGAGGACCGAACCGACUAAUGUUGAAAAAUUAGCGGAUGACUUGUGGCUGGGGGUGAAAGGCCAAUCAAACCGGGAGAUAGCUGGUUCUCCCCGAAAGCUAUUUAGGUAGCGCCUCGUGAAUUCAUCUCCGGGGGUAGAGCACUGUUUCGGCAAGGGGGUCAUCCCGACUUACCAACCCGAUGCAAACUGCGAAUACCGGAGAAUGUUAUCACGGGAGACACACGGCGGGUGCUAACGUCCGUCGUGAAGAGGGAAACAACCCAGACCGCCAGCUAAGGUCCCAAAGUCAUGGUUAAGUGGGAAACGAUGUGGGAAGGCCCAGACAGCCAGGAUGUUGGCUUAGAAGCAGCCAUCAUUUAAAGAAAGCGUAAUAGCUCACUGGUCGAGUCGGCCUGCGCGGAAGAUGUAACGGGGCUAAACCAUGCACCGAAGCUGCGGCAGCGACACUAUGUGUUGUUGGGUAGGGGAGCGUUCUGUAAGCCUGUGAAGGUGGCCUGUGAGGGUUGCUGGAGGUAUCAGAAGUGCGAAUGCUGACAUAAGUAACGAUAAAGCGGGUGAAAAGCCCGCUCGCCGGAAGACCAAGGGUUCCUGUCCAACGUUAAUCGGGGCAGGGUGAGUCGACCCCUAAGGCGAGGCCGAAAGGCGUAGUCGAUGGGAAACAGGUUAAUAUUCCUGUACUUGGUGUUACUGCGAAGGGGGGACGGAGAAGGCUAUGUUGGCCGGGCGACGGUUGUCCCGGUUUAAGCGUGUAGGCUGGUUUUCCAGGCAAAUCCGGAAAACCAAGGCUGAGGCGUGAUGACGAAGCACUACGGUGCUGAAGCGACAAAUGCCCUGCUUCCAGGAAAAGCCUCUAAGCAUCAGGUAACAUCAAAUCGUACCCCAAACCGACACAGGUGGUCAGGUAGAGAAUACCAAGGCGCUUGAGAGAACUCGGGUGAAGGAACUAGGCAAAAUGGUGCCGUAACUUCGGGAGAAGGCACGCUGAUAUGUAGGUGAAGCGACUUGCUCGUGGAGCUGAAAUCAGUCGAAGAUACCAGCUGGCUGCAACUGUUUAUUAAAAACACAGCACUGUGCAAACACGAAAGUGGACGUAUACGGUGUGACGCCUGCCCGGUGCCGGAAGGUUAAUUGAUGGGGUUAGCGGUAACGCGAAGCUCUUGAUCGAAGCCCCGGUAAACGGCGGCCGUAACUAUAACGGUCCUAAGGUAGCGAAAUUCCUUGUCGGGUAAGUUCCGACCUGCACGAAUGGCGUAAUGAUGGCCAGGCUGUCUCCACCCGAGACUCAGUGAAAUUGAACUCGCUGUGAAGAUGCAGUGUACCCGCGGCAAGACGGAAAGACCCCGUGAACCUUUACUAUAGCUUGACACUGAACAUUGAGCCUUGAUGUGUAGGAUAGGUGGGAGGCUUUGAAGUGUGGACGCCAGUCUGCAUGGAGCCGACCUUGAAAUACCACCCUUU
rnacentral:rRNA from 1 species